rnacentral:rRNA from 1 species
GGGCCUAACACAUGCAAGUCGAGCGCGCCUUCUCGGGGUGAGCGGCGGACGGGUUAGUAACGCGUGGGAAUAUGCCCUUUGGUACGGAAUAGCCUCUGGAAACGGAGAGUAAUACCGUAUGAGCCCUUCGGGGGAAAGAUUUAUCGCCAAAGGAUUAGCCCGCGUUAGAUUAGGUAGUUGGUGGGGUAAUGGCCUACCAAGCCUACGAUCUAUAGCUGGUUUUAGAGGAUGAUCAGCAACACUGGGACUGAGACACGGCCCAGACUCCUACGGGAGGCAGCAGUGGGGAAUCUUGGACAAUGGGGGCAACCCUGAUCCAGCCAUGCCGCGUGAGUGAUGAAGGCCUUAGGGUCGUAAAGCUCUUUCGCCUGUGAAGAUAAUGACGGUAGCAGGUAAAGAAACCCCGGCUAACUCCGUGCCAGCAGCCGCGGUAAUACGGAGGGGGUUAGCGUUGUUCGGAAUUACUGGGCGUAAAGCGCACGUAGGCGGAUCGGAAAGUUGGGGGUGAAAUCCCGGGGCUCAACCCCGGAACUGCCUCCAAAACUAUCGGUCUAGAGUUCGAGAGAGGUGAGUGGAAUUCCAAGUGUAGAGGU